rfam:Medicago truncatula strain A17 chromosome 7, whole genome shotgun sequence.
AUGUAGUGUGACAUGCCCGUUGGAUUUUACUCUGAUGUUGUGUGUUUAAUUAUUAUUUAAUUACUUUUGGGUAACGGGGUGUCACAUGAUA